rnacentral:rRNA from 1 species
UACAGAGGUCUCAAGCGUUGUUCGGAUUCAUUGGGCGUAAAGGGUGCGUAGGCGGCGCGGUAAGUCGGGUGUGAAAUCUCGGAGCUUAACUCCGAAACUGCAUUCGAUACUGCCGUGCUUGAGGACUGGAGAGGAGACUGGAAUUUACGGUGUAAGCGGUGAAAUGCGUAGAUAUCGUAAGGAAGACCAGUGGCGAAGGCGGGUCUCUGGACAGUUCCCGACGCUGAGGCACGAAGGUCAGGGAGCAAACGGG